rnacentral:rRNA from 1 species
UACGAAGGGUGCAAACGUUGCUCGGAAUUAUUGGGCGUAAAGCGCACGUAGGCGGCUUAGCAAGUCGGAAGUGAAAUCCCUCGGCUCAACCAAGGAAGUGCUUUCGAAACUGCUGAGCUUGAGUACGAAAGAGGAUCGCGGAAUUCCCGGUGUAGAGGUGAAAUUCGUAGAUAUCGGGAGGAACACCAGCGGCGAAGGCGGCGAUCUGGGUCGAUACUGACGCUGAGGUGCGAAAGCGUGGGGAGCAAACAGG